GCCAGGCGCGGUGGCUCACGCCUGUAAUCCCAGCACUUUGGGAGGCCGAGGUGGGUGGAUCACCUGAGGUCAGGACUUUGAGACCAGCCUGACCAACAUGGUGAAACCCCGCCUCUA
ensembl:misc_RNA Metazoa_SRP Metazoan signal recognition particle RNA